rnacentral:lncRNA from 1 species
AUGAGUGUGGUGGCACCAAGGCCUCGCUUUGCCCUUCUGCGAGGCACUGAGGACACGGCAGGCAGCAGGGACAGAUCCUGCCUGAGAGGAGGCGUGCCCAGAGGUGCCUCAGGGAUGGACCCGACCCGCACAGCAGCGGCCACAAGGGGUGCAGUCAGUAGUUGGUCUGAUGAGGGAUGCUUCACACGGGCUGUGAAGGCCAGCGGGACAAACAGCUUCCAGCCAAGGAGAUCUCAUCAUUCUGUACUGCAGUGGAUGACACAGCCUCGGGUGCUACAAAACAUCACAAAGCUGCAAAACCACUGGACUAAGACAGUGAAGUUUUCUGCUCAUAAGAGAGCCUCAGUUGUUUGCUUCCAAAUGUUGAUUAAAGCUUGGAACAGCUUCCAGCCCAGAAGAGGAGGUAGCUGUGCACCUUGA